CCUACGGGAGGCAGCAGUGGGGAAUUUUGGACAAUGGGCGCAAGCCUGAUCCAGCCAUUCCGCGUGAGUGAAGAAGGCCUUCGGGUUGUAAAGCUCUUUCGCAAGGGAAGAAAACUUACAUUCUAAUAAAGUGUGAGGCUGACGGUACCUUGAUAAGAAGCACCGGCUAACUACGUGCCAGCAGCCGCGGUAAUACGUAGGGUGCGAGCGUUAAUCGGAAUUACUGGGCGUAAAGCGUGCGCAGGCGGUUUUGUAAGUCAGAUGUGAAAUCCCCGGGCUCAACCUGGGAACUGCGUUUGAAACUACAAGGCUAGAGUGUAGCAGAGGGGGGUAGAAUUCCACGUGUAGCAGUGAAAUGCGUAGAGAUGUGGAGGAAUACCAAUGGCGAAGGCAGCCCCCUGGGUUAACACUGACGCUCAUGCACGAAAGCGUGGGGAGCAAACAGGAUUAGAUACCCUGGUAGUCCACGCCCUAAACGAUGUCUACUAGUUGUUGGGAGAGUAAAAUCUCUUAGUAACGCAGCUAACGCGUGAAGUAGACCGCCUGGGGAGUACGGUCGCAAGNUUAAAACUCAAAUGAAAUUGAGCGNGAGAGUGCGAGACGACGACGAGGGAGGAGG
rnacentral:rRNA from 1 species